GACGAACGCUGGCGGCGUGCUUAACACAUGCAAGUCGAGCGGUAAGGCCCUUCGGGGUACACGAGCGGCGAACGGGUGAGUAACACGUGGGUGAUCUGCCUCGCACUUCGGGAUAAGCCUGGGAAACUGGGUCUAAUACCGGAUAUGACCUUUCAGUGCAUGCUGUUGGGUGGAAAGAUUUAUCGGUGCGAGAUGGGCCCGCGGCCUAUCAGCUUGUUGGCGGGGUAACGGCCCACCAAGGCGACGACGGGUAGCCGACCUGAGAGGGUGACCGGCCACACUGGGACUGAGACACGGCCCAGACUCCUACGGGAGGCAGCAGUGGGGAAUAUUGCACAAUGGGCGGAAGCCUGAUGCAGCGACGCCGCGUGAGGGAUGACGGCCUUCGGGUUGUAAACCUCUUUCGACAGGGACGAAGCGCAAGUGACGGUACCUGUAGAAGAAGCACCGGCCAACUACGUG
rnacentral:rRNA from 1 species